CACACUGCCCUCUGGACUGGGCCUCCCAGCACGGGCUGGGGUGUGGAGAAGCCUUCUGAUCACUGUCAUGCUGUGCUGCUCUCCCCUCCCUUCCCCAGGCCCUCACCAGUCCCUCCCAGCCCCGCUGGCUCCUGUCCAUGAGGCCGCACCCCCCGCUUUGGCCUAACUGCUGAUGAGCUCCCCUUCCUCACCUUCCCAUACUCCUUCAAGUAGUCUCGCUGCUAAGCUCAGGCUUAUUUUUCUUCUGACCCUGUACCCUGGAAUCCAGCCCAGCUUCUCUCAUUGCAGGGCACAGCGGGGCGUUAUGCACUCCAGCCGCCCUGCCCUCGGGACAGCAGAUGUCGCCUGACGCGCUCCUCCAUCCCUGCCGCUGCAUCCCCGGCCCUCCUGGCUGUGUCACUCCACCGGCUCUGCCUCGAAGCCCCGCGGCCACCGCUCUCCUCUGUUUCCGUCUGCUCAGCCUUCCGGGUUCCACACACAUGCAGCCGUGUGGUGUGCUUGCUUCUGUGUCCAGCUUACUCCCCUCAGCGAUGCUCUCUGGGUCCCUCCGUGCUUCACAGACGGCAAGGCCUUCUUCAGGGCUGAGCAUUACUCCGUCUUAUGUGCAGAUCAGUGUUCUGUCCAUUCCCCUGCUGUUUCCAUAGCCGGGCUGUGGUGGGGAACGCUGUCGGGCCGGGGCGCAGGCAUCUCUUCGGGCACCGACCUCACUGCCGUUUGUGUACCCAGGAGACUCCUGCUCCCACUGGGCCUCUUCGCCCUUCGUGGGACGCCCCGCCUUGGGCCCACGAAGGCUGCGCUGAUGCCCCUGCCUCUGCCGUCCUCACCGGCCCUGCUGCCGCCUGCCUGUCCUCUCAGCAGUGCCACUGGCAGGUGGGAAGCGAAGCGCCGUCUCAUCUGGUUUUACUUUGCGUCUCACGGAGGAUGCAUGACACCAAGCACUUUGCACAUGGCUGCCAGCCAUUUGUGUCUUUCUUGGAAAACGUCUUCUCAAAGAGCUUUCCAGACCAUUUUUGUUCAGCUCUAGACUGCUGCCUGAUUCUAAAAUCACGAAAAAGGGAGGAAGGUGUGAGGGGAAGAGCAGGGGAGG
rnacentral:lncRNA from 1 species